UAGGGAAUAUUAGAAAUGGACGAAAGUCUGAUCUAGCAACACCGCGUGUGCGAAGAAGGCCUUCGGGUUGUAAAGCACUUUUCGGAAGGAUUAGGAAGGAAUGUACUUCCAGAAUAAGUCUCGGCUAACUAAGUGCCAGCAGCCGCGGUAACACGUAGGAGGCAAACGUUAUCCGGAUUUACUGGGCGUAAAGCGCGUGUAGGUGGUUCUGUAAGUAGGGCGUGAAAGCUCCUGGCUCAACUGGGAGAGGCCGUUCUAAGCUGCAGAGCUAGAGGAUGGUAGAGGGAGGUGGAAUUCCGGGUGUAGCGGUGGAAUGCGCAGAUAUCCGGAGGAACACCAGUGGCGAAAGCGGCCUCCUGGACCAUUCCUGACACUCAGACGCGAAAGCUAGGGUAGCAAACG
rnacentral:rRNA from 1 species